GACGAACGCUGGCGGCGUGCCUAAUACAUGCAAGUUGAGCGCUGAAGGUUGGUACUUGUACCAACUGGAUGAGCAGCGAACGGGUGAGUAACGCGUGGGGAAUCUGCCUUUGAGCGGGGGACAACAUUUGGAAACGAAUGCUAAUACCGCAUAAAAACUUUAAACACAAGUUUUAAGAUUGAAAGAUGCAAUUGCAUCACUCAAAGAUCAUCCCGCGUUGUAUUAGCUGGUUUGUGAGGUAAAGGCUCACCAAGGCGAUGAUACAUAGACGACCUGAGAGGGUGAUCGGCCACAUUGGGACUGGGACACGGACCAAACGCCUACGGGAGGCAGCAGUAGGGAAUCUUCGGCAAUGGACGAAAGUCUGACCGAGCAACGCCGCGUGAGUGAAGAAGGUUUUCGGAUCGUAAAACUCUGUUGGUAGAGAAGAACGUUGGUGAGAGUGGAAAGCUCAUCAAGUGACGGUAACUACCCAGAAAGGGACGGCUAACUACGUG
rnacentral:rRNA from 1 species